rnacentral:rRNA from 1 species
UUCCCGAAUGAGGAAACUCUAUAUACUACUUGCUGAAUUUAUAGGCAAGAAAGAGCAAACCUGGCGAAUUGAAACAUCUUAGUAGCCAGAGGAAAAGAAAGCAAAAGCGAUUCCCUUAGUAGCGGCGAGCGAAGUGGGAACAGCCUAAACCAACUAGAUACGUCUAGUUGGGGUUGUGGGACAGCAAUAACUAAGAUUAACAAGAGUUAAAAGAAUUAGUUGGAAUACUAAGCCAUAGAUGGUGAAAGCCCAGUAUUUGAAAAGUUAUCAAAGGAAAUCUUGAUAGAAAAAUAAAGACGUCGCGCGACGAAACAUCAUAGGAAGGCACUUGCUUAUGAACUAUGAGUCUUUUUAAGAAAACUCGCAUUUAAUAUGCUUAAUAACAUUUAUGUGAAUUGAAUCAUCUUAGUAACAUAAUAAAAAAUCAAACGAGAACUUGUAAGUAACGGUGAGUGAACACAAGCUUAGCAAAAUGUUGAAAUCCAGAGAAGGUGUCUCAAGUCCUUUACAGCAUUAAUAAGAAUACAAAGUAGUAUGAUUAACUUUUGUACGAAAAUAGGAGUACCAUCUUCUAAGCUAAAAAAUUUUUCUAAUCGAUAGUGAACGAGUACCGUGAGGGAAAGAUUUAAAUUUGUUAAUUUAUAUUUAUUUGAAGUUGAUGAAUGCAACUACAAAGUGCCUUUUGCAUAAUGAGUCAGUAAGUUAAUAUAUGUAGCAAGCUUGAAAAUAUUUAGGCAUUCUAAGUUACAUGCAUUAGACCCGAAGCCAAGUGAUCUAUUCUUAAACAAGUUGAAGAUGUUUUAAAAUGCAUUGGAGGGCUGAACCCACGUCUGUUGAAAAAUACGGGGACGAUUUAAGAAUAGGGGUGAAAGUCCAAUCAAACUUGGUGAUAGCUGGUUUUCCGCGAAAACUAUCAAAGUAGUACGUUGCUUUUCAAAAAUGUGGGUAGAGCUACUUAUUAAACUUAGAUUUUGCUAAGUUUUAUUAAACUCCAAAUUAUAUUUUUAUUUAGCAGCAGACAGUCAUUAGGCGAUAAGGUUCAAUGUCAAAAGGGAAACAACCCUAAUCGAUGGUUAAGAUCUUAAAAUUAUGAAUUAGUGAAAAAAUGAAAAGUAAUUCGAAUAAACAGAGUAGGCUUAGAAGCAGCCAUCUAUUGGAGAAAGCGUUUUAGCUCAUUAUUUUUACUUAUUUUACUCAUUUAAAAUGUAAGGAGACUUAAAUUCAUAUAUCGAAGCUUCGAAUUAAGUUUAAUUUUUCUUAAUGGUAGCGGAACGUCCUGUAGUCUUUUCUGUUAAUGUUAAAUUGCAUAUUAAAAAUCAGGAGUGCUAAUGCUGACAUGAGUAGCGUCAACCAUGUUGAAAAUAAAUCAUGGUCGUCUAUUGCUCAAGGGUUUCCAGUAAAUUUUAAGUAACUGGGUUUAGUCGGCCCUUAAAAAAAAAGUGAAAACUGUACUUGAUAGGAAAAUUAUUCCGCAUGUUUGCAAAAUAUUUUUGUGUAAAAAAGUACUUUUAAAAGUUUUGCUUAAUAAACUAGCAACUUAAAAAAAGUAUUUUUCAGGAAAAUUUGCAUGAAGUUUGACCGUACUUAGAACCGACACAGGUGAGCUUAUUGAGAAGAUAAAGACGAAUGAGAUAAUUAUACUUAAGGAACUCGGCAAAUUUGCUCCGUACGUUCGCAACAAGGAGUACCUUAAAGGAUUCAAAAAUUAGGGGUAGCGACUGUUUAACAAAAACUCAAAACUUUGCAAAUUCGAAAGAAGACGUAUAAGGUUUGACGCCUGCCCAGUGCUUGAAAGCGAAAAAUACACGUUAACGCUUGUAUCAUAAACUCAAGUAAACGGCGGUCUUAACUAUAAGGAUCCUCAGGUAGCGAAAUUCCUUGGCGGGUAAAUUCCGUCCUGCAUGAAUGGCGUCACGACUACCCCACUGUCUCUAGUAUAAACUCAGCGAAAUUACAUUGUCUGUGAAAAUGCAGACAUCCUACAACAAGACGGAAAGACCCUAUGAUUCUUAACUAUAAUUUUACGUCGCAAUAAUUUUGUGUACAGUACAGUAAAAGUAGGAGUAUACUUAUACAAUUUUGAAAAACUACUCUGUACAUAAGAAAUUGCUUACUGAAGAGAAAAUAUGUAAAAGUGGUAGUUUACUUGGGACGAGGACCUCCUAAACUGUAACGGAGGUGCACAAAAGUAAAUUUUAAUUAGUUUUUUGUAUUAAUAAAAUAUGUAAUGGUAAAAAUUUGCUUGACGGUAAGAGUUACAACUCAAACCGGGACGAAAGUCGGUCAUAAUGAUCCGGCAGUAAUGUAUGGAAAUACUGUCGCUUAUCGGAAAAAAGAAACUCUAGGGAUAACAGAUUUAUCAUGGCUGAGAGUUCUUAUCGACGCCAUGGUUUGAUACCUCGAUGUCGGCUCAUCUUUUCCUGGAGCUGUAACAGGUUCCAAGGGUAUGGUUGUUCGCCAAAUAAUAAGAUACGUGAGCUGGGUUCAGAACGUCGUGAGACAGUUCGGUCCCUAUCUGUUGUGGGUAAGAAAAAACUAGAUUUAUCUUUAGUACGAGAGGAUUAAGAUAUAUUAACCAAUAGUGUAUCGGUUGUAUUGUUUCUUGCAUUGCCGAGUAGCCACGUUAACAUUAUAUAAGUGCUGACAGCUUAAAAGCACAAAAAUAAUCUUUAUUUUUUCAAGAACUUUCUAGAAGAUUACUAGAUAGAUCGGUUUAUUAUUUAAUACUUGUAAAAGUAAGUAAAUAAAUACGAAAAGUUCAUUAUAAUUUGUGUU